rnacentral:rRNA from 1 species
UACGUAGGGGGCAAGCGUUGUCCGGAUUUAUUGGGCGUAAAGAGCGUGUAGGCGGCUAGGUAGGUCCGUUGUGAAAACUCGAGGCUCAACCUCGAGCUGUCGAUGGAAACCAUCUGGCUAGAGUCCGGAAGAGGAGAGUGGAAUUCCUGGUGUAGCGGUGAAAUGCGCAGAUAUCAGGAGGAACACCAAUUGCGAAGGCAGCUCGCUGGGACGUUACUGACGCUGAGACGCGAAAGCGUGGGGAGCAAACAGG